rnacentral:lncRNA from 1 species
CGUGUAGACGAGUGAGGUGAGUGGUGAAAUCAUGGAAGAAAACUACCACGUCGUCUAAAUAACACAAACACGUCUUUCAUUUGAGGCCUCGCAAAAUAUUGCCUGUCAUUCUUUCAUAU